GGCCCCAUCGUCUAGCCCGGUUCAGGACACCUCCCUUUCACGGAGGUAACGAGGGUUCGAAUCCCUCUGGGGUCA
rnacentral:tRNA from 1 species